UACGAAGGGGGCUAGCGUUGUUGGGAAUCACUGGGCGUAAAGGGCGCGUAGGCGGCUGUUCAAGUCGGGUGUGAAAGCCUGUGGCUCAACCACAGAAUUGCCUUCGAUACUGGACGGCUGGAGACCGGAAGAGGUCAGUGGAACUGCGAGUGUAGAGGUGAAAUUCGUAGAUAUUCGCAAGAACGCCAGUGGCGAAGGCGGCUGACUGGUCCGGUUCUGACGCUGAGGCACGAAAGCGUGGGGAGCAAACAGG
rnacentral:rRNA from 1 species